CACUAUCGUUAACUGAAUACAUAGGUUAACGAGGCGAACCGGGGGAACUGAAACAUCUAAGUACCCCGAGGAAAAGAAAUCAACCGAGAUUCCCCCAGUAGCGGCGAGCGAACGGGGAGCAGCCCAGAGUCUGAAUCAGCUUGUGUGUUAGUGGAACGGUCUGGAAAGUCCGACGGUACAGGGUGAUAGUCCCGUACACCAAAAUGCACAGGCUGUGAACUCGAAGAGUAGGGCGGGACACGUGGUAUCCUGUCUGAAUAUGGGGGGACCAUCCUCCAAGGCUAAAUACUCCUGACUGACCGAUAGUGAACCAGUACCGUGAGGGAAAGGCGAAAAGAACCCCGGCGAGGGGAGUGAAAAAGAACCUGAAACCGUGUACGUACAAGCAGUGGGAGCACCUUCGGGUGUGACUGCGUACCUUUUGUAUAAUGGGUCAGCGACUUAUAUUCUGUAGCAAGGUUAACCGUAUAGGGGAGCCGCAGGGAAACCGAGUCUUAACUGGGCGUUAAGUUGCAGGGUAUAGACCCGAAACCCGGUGAUCUAGCCAUGGGCAGGUUGAAGGUUGGGUAACACUAACUGGAGGACCGAACCGACUAAUGUUGAAAAAUUAGCGGAUGACUUGUGGCUGGGGGUGAAAGGCCAAUCAAACCGGGAGAUAGCUGGUUCUCCCCGAAAGCUAUUUAGGUAGCGCCUCGUGAAUUCAUCUUCGGGGGUAGAGCACUGUUUCGGCUAGGGGGUCAUCCCGACUUACCAACCCGAUGCAAACUACGAAUACCGAAGAAUGUUAUCACGGGAGACACACGGCGGGUGCUAACGUCCGUCGUGAAGAGGGAAACAACCCAGACCGCCAGCUAAGGUCCCAAAGUCAUGGUUAAGUGGGAAACGAUGUGGGAAGGCACAGACAGCCAGGAUGUUGGCUUAGAAGCAGCCAUCAUUUAAAGAAAGCGUAAUAGCUCACUGGUCGAGUCGGCCUGCGCGGAAGAUGUAACGGGGCUAAACCAUGCACCGAAGCUGCGGCAGCGACACUAUGUGUUGUUGGGUAGGGGAGCGUUCUGUAAGCCUGCGAAGGUGUGCUGUGAGGCAUGCUGGAGGUAUCAGAAGUGCGAAUGCUGACAUAAGUAACGAUAAAGCGGGUGAAAAGCCCGCUCGCCGGAAGACCAAGGGUUCCUGUCCAACGUUAAUCGGGGCAGGGUGAGUCGACCCCUAAGGCGAGGCCGAAAGGCGUAGUCGAUGGGAAACAGGUUAAUAUUCCUGUACUUGGUGUUACUGCGAAGGGGGGACGGAGAAGGCUAUGUUAGCCGGGCGACGGUUGUCCCGGUUUAAGCAUGUAGGCUGAUUGUCCAGGCAAAUCCGGAUAAUCAAGGCUGAGGUGUGAUGACGAGGCACUACGGUGCUGAAGUAACAAAUGCCCUGCUUCCAGGAAAAGCCUCUAAGCAUCAGGUAACAUCAAAUCGUACCCCAAACCGACACAGGUGGUCAGGUAGAGAAUACCAAGGCGCUUGAGAGAACUCGGGUGAAGGAACUAGGCAAAAUGGUGCCGUAACUUCGGGAGAAGGCACGCUGGUGUGUAGGUGAAGUCCCUGCGGAUGGAGCUGAGACCAGUCGAAGAUACCAGCUGGCUGCAACUGUUUAUUAAAAACACAGCACUGUGCAAACACGAAAGUGGACGUAUACGGUGUGACGCCUGCCCGGUGCCGGAAGGUUAAUUGAUGGGGUUAUCCGUAAGGAGAAGCUCUUGAUCGAAGCCCCGGUAAACGGCGGCCGUAACUAUAACGGUCCUAAGGUAGCGAAAUUCCUUGUCGGGUAAGUUCCGACCUGCACGAAUGGCGUAAUGAUGGCCAGGCUGUCUCCACCCGAGACUCAGUGAAAUUGAACUCGCUGUGAAGAUGCAGUGUACCCGCGGCAAGACGGAAAGACCCCGUGAACCUUUACUAUAGCUUGACACUGAACAUUGAGCCUUGAUGUGUAGGAUAGGUGGGAGGCUUUGAAGCGUGGACGCCAGUCUGCGUGGAGCCAACCUUGAAAUACCACCCUUUAAUGUUUGAUGUUCUAACGUUGGCCCCUUACCGGGGUUGCGGACAGUGUCUGGUGGGUAGUUUGACUGGGGCGGUCUCCUCCCAAAGCGUAACGGAGGAGCACGAAGGUUAGCUAAUCCUGGUCGGACAUCAGGAGGUUAGUGCAAUGGCAUAAGCUAGCUUGACUGCGAGCGUGACGGCGCGAGCAGGUGCGAAAGCAGGUCAUAGUGAUCCGGUGGUUCUGAAUGGAAGGGCCAUCGCUCAACGGAUAAAAGGUACUCCGGGGAUAACAGGCUGAUACCGCCCAAGAGUUCAUAUCGACGGCGGUGUUUGGCACCUCGAUGUCGGCUCAUCACAUCCUGGGGCUGAAGUAGGUCCCAAGGGUAUGGCUGUUCGCCAUUUAAAGUGGUACGCGAGCUGGGUUUAGAACGUCGUGAGACAGUUCGGUCCCUAUCUGCCGUGGGCGCUGGAGAAUUGAGGGGGGCUGCUCCUAGUACGAGAGGACCGGAGUGGACGCAUCACUGGUGUUCGGGUUGUCAUGCCAAUGGCACUGCCCGGUAGCUAAAUGCGGAAGAGAUAAGUGCUGAAAGCAUCUAAGCACGAAACUUGCCCCGAGAUGAGUUCUCCCUGAGACUUUAAGUCUCCUGAAGGAACGUUGAAGACGACGACGUUGAUAGGCCGGGUGUGUAAGCGCAGCGAUGCGUUGAGCUAACCGGUACUAAUGAACCGUGAGGCUUAACCUU
rnacentral:rRNA from 1 species